UCCACUGGCCCCUGAAAUCUCUGCGGAAUGAAAACUGGGAGCUCCUGCCGGCUGGAGCACCUGGACACGGGGCAGAGAUGAGAGGCUGGGGCUUCUGUUCCCCAGACACGCUCUCCAGAGGUGACCAGCCUGCAACCGACAGGGUGUGAGUCCAGCAUCAAGCCUGGGCCCACUCGGGGCCAUGUUCGAGGCUCUUACAGUGGACACAAAGCUAAAGUCAGUCACACCACCAAUGAGCGGCUGGUCUGUAAAUGGGUUUUGGAGGCCUGGAAGCUCACAGGGAUGUCCAGAGGGCCCAGGACAGAGAAACAGGCUAGCGGGGCAGAUGGGAGCAGCACAGGAGGAGAGAGACCCGGCUGCCCAGUAAGGUGGGGUGGGGGCUGACUCCCGCCUGAGGAUCCAGCCCUUCCGAGCCCGUGAGAACAAUUUCCUGUAACAGGAAGGAAGCCACCGCCAGCCGUGGCAGCCCCUUGACUGUCCCCUGGGUUGGAGGGGUGGAGACCCACACAGAAUGGUCCUGCCCCAGAGCACGCCUGCGGGGCCAGGCUCAGACGGAACUGGCAGAACUGGCAUGGAAUCCCGUGGCUGAGGGCUGAAGUCACAGCUCAUGUGUCCAGGGCUAUGAGGGGACCCAGGGUGGGGGGACUUGGUCCCUGGGUGCUGCUAACCCUCUGGAGCCUGCUUCUCCUCGGGAACAUGUGCCAGCCUUCCGGGGGCCUGCCGAGCGCUGCAGUGUAACCGUGGGUAAACUUGGCAGGGCUGUCAUCACAUGCACAGGGUGCCCUCACCUGGGGAGACAGUGAGCCCACCCGGAUGCCCCACUCACUUGCCCACUGUCCCUGACCAGAGGCCCUGGGCCAUGGCCCCCACCCAUCCCGGCGAAGCCUGCCAGCAGGUCCCCAGAUCAAGCUCUGAGGUGUCCUACAGGUGACCCACUCCCACUCCCCACAAUAACCGCGUCUGCCUGCCGGCGGCCAGGCAGGCUAGCGGCCCCAGAGCAGACAUCUGCCCAGCACCCACCAAGCACCCGUAGGAAACUCAUGGUGCCGUGGACCCGGCGUGGGCAGCCGUGAGGAUGCAGACAAGGGUCAGGACCCCUCCUCACAGGGAGCUGGGCACCACAUGGGAGGCACGACGCCUAAUCCGCCACCUCUGCCCCCAAGCAGGGCCAUGCGGGCCCCAUCCGCGGGGGCCAACCACUCGGAGGUGACCGAGUUCAUCCUGGUGGGCUUCCCGGGCUCGCUGGGCCUCCACGUGUGCCUGCUGGUGCUGUUCCUGCUGGUCUACCUGCUGACCAUCACCGAGAACCUGCUCAUCAUUGCCGUGGUCCAUGCCAGCCCCGCGCUGCACAAGCCCAUGUACGUCUUCCUCAGCAACCUGUCCUUCCUGGAGGUGUGGUACGUCUCCGUCACAGUGCCCAGGAUGCUGCUCAGCCUGGUGGUGCCCGGGUCUCGCCGCAUCUCCUUUGCAGGCUGCAUGGCUCAGCUGUACUUCUUCCUGGCGCUGGCCUGCACCGAGUGCGCCCUCCUGGGCGUCAUGGCCUACGACCGCUACGUGGCCAUCUGCAGCCCACUGCGCUACCCAGCCAUCAUGAGUCCCAGCCUCUGCAGCCUCCUGGCCGCCGGCUCCUGGCUCUCGGGCUUCACCAUCUCUGUGGGGAAGGUCUUCUUCAUCGCGCGGCUGGGCUACUGCGGCCCCAACAUCAUGAACCACUUCUUCUGCGACGUGUCGCCCCUGCUGAACCUGGCGUGCUCCGACGUGGCCCUGGCCGAGCUGGUGGACUUCCUCCUGGCGCUGCUCAUCCUGCUUGGGCCCCUGCUGCUCACCGUCUCCUCCUACACGGCCAUCAUCAGUGCCGUGCUGCACGUCCCCUCCGCCGCCGGCCGGCGCAAGGCCUUCUCCACCUGCGCCGCGCACCUGGCCGUGGUGGUCAUCUUCUACUCCGCCUCCCUCUUCAUCUACGCCCGGCCUCGUGCCAUCUACUCCUUUGACCUCCACAAGCUGGUGUCCGUGGUCUACACGGUGCUCACGCCCCUGCUCAACCCCAUCAUCUACUGCUUGCGGAACCGGGAGGUCAAGGAGGCCCUGCACAAGGUGGUACAGAGGGCAGCCCAGGCCCGGGGCGCCCCCUCCUAGGACACGCUCCCACGUGCCCCGGGACCCCUCUCAGACAGACAGGACUGCCUACCGGGCCGGGAGACAGUGCUGGGCAGCCCAAGGCUCUGCGAGGGAGGCACUCUGCACCAUCUACAGGAAAGAUGAGGGGAACAGAGCCUCAGCACUGCGGGUGGGGGACCAAGUCCAUGCUUUGCCCCUUCACUGAGGGUAGAGCCCACCACGGGGCCUCGCCCUGGGAGAGCUGGCACUGACCACCCCAUCGCUGCAGCAGGUCCAGGUUCCGAAAGUCCAGCCACUCAGCCAUCAUGGCAGACGUCCCCCAGGAGGUGCCUAACGUCAGCAAUUACAGGCAGCGCUCAGCCUGGAUCUGGGGCUCCAGAUGGAAGGCGCC